rnacentral:tRNA from 2 species
GGACAGAUGGCAGAGUGGUUGAAUGCACCGGUCUUGAAAACCGGCGUGGGUUUAUAGCCCACCCAGGGUUCGAAUCCCUGUCUGUCCGCCA